rnacentral:tRNA from 1 species
GGGGAUUUAGCUCAGCAGCAUAAGCACCUGCCUUGCAAGCAGGCGGAGGCAGUCAUGAGUUCAAUCCCCG